rnacentral:tRNA from 1 species
GAUUGAUGCUCUAAGAGGCUUUAUCGCUUUCGUAAUGAGAAGGUCGGGGGUUCGAUUCCUCUAUCCGGCACCA